CUGACGCUGUGUUGUCCAGCUGCUUUUAAACCGGAAAUGAAACAUGAGAUUAAAACUUUAAUGAUGUUUGUUUUAUAAGAACCCAUUCUUAUAAGCAUCAUAUGGAGUGGGUUCAACCAAAUGUAAAAAUGAACAGUUGAAUGUUUCUAUUGCAUGAUCUCAAACAGUCGAGAUUUAAAGAACUCUGCCUUCAGCCUGCUUGGGAAGGGCUUUCUGCAAAAAUAUCAACUUUGACAUUUUAGGGUUUGAUAACUGCUUUAAAGCUAAAAAUACAUUUUAUCUCGCUAGGAUGAUGAAAGCUUGUCCAUAAUUCAUUAUGUUUUGCUCUCCUCUCAUCUCACCAGAUGAAGUCCCAGCCACAGGAACUGCUACUCUGGUGAUUCAGCUUGAAGAUGUCAAUGACAAUGCACCCAGUAUUAGAGGGUGGCUUGAAGGUGUGUAACAGGGGAUCAGCUCCUCAGCUGCUGGAUGCAAUGGAUAAAGAUGGACCAGGCUUUGCUGCUCCAUACAGGCAGAGGCGGAUCCAGAAAAAGUUAAAGCUGCUACCGACCUCUCGCUUUUACUAAUUAUUUUUCAUGUUUUUAUUGGCUCUUUAACCCUCCUGUUGUCUUCAUUUAUGGGCACCAAAAAAUAUUAUUUCCUUGUCUGAAAAAAAUCAAAAAAUUCAGCAAAAAAAAUUCCCCAAAUUUCUGUAAAUUUCCAAAACCUUCAGGAAGAAAAUUCCAAUAAUUCCUUAAAAGUUUCCCUUAAAAAUUUUAUUUAAAAAAAAUAAAUAAAUAAAAAAUCCCCCAAAUUUGGCAAGAAAAUUCUUGUAAAUAUUUUCAACAAAGGAGUGAAAAUCUUCCAAAAAAAUCCUAAAAAUAUCUAAAGUGAUUACAUAUAUAUCAGUCAAACUUCAAAUAGUUUCUUUAAAAACAUUCACAAAAAAAAUUUUUUUUGAAUGUUCUAAAGAAACAUUUUUAACAUUUCUUUUUUCCAUGAAAAGAUGUUCAAAGAUUUCCCAAAAAUGCUGAAAAUGUGGACAUCAGAAGUUUCACUGUGAAAAUAUACUUUUCCCCCCACAUUUUCAAACUUUAAAACAGGUCAAUUUUGACACGCAGGACGACAUGGGGGUUAACCCAAUAGGAAAGGUGUAUAUGACCUUUUCAUUUUGGACUGUUAACAUUAAAGUUAUGAUGAAAAUGUUUCCUUGUUUAUGUGAAUUACAACUUCAUUAGCUGCAACAUCUGCCUGUUAUGUGAAACUAGUAAGCUUAAUGACAGUAUCCUAAGGGCAAUUAAGUGGCAAAUAUUGUGCAAGAACAGCACUAUUUACAACCCUGUCAAUUUCAACUUCUUAGAAUGUUUACAUAAAACAAGAAAUAAUGAAUGCAGAUAAAUGCUUUUUAAAAAUGUUUAGUAAGAAGUUAUUCAGUUGAUGUCGUCUUUGCUACAUUGCAUUGUCAAAAAAAAUUCUUGCAGUUACCUCCAAAGGUACUUUAUUAUUAAUGCUUUGGUAAAUCUGAUAUUUUUAAAUAAAGAUAUCGUAAUACAA